UACGUAGGGUGCGAGCGUUGUCCGGAAUUAUUGGGCGUAAAGGGCUCGUAGGCGGUUUGUCGCGUCGGGAGUGAAACCAGGUGCUUAACACCUGGCUUGCUUUCGAUACGGGCAGACUAGAGGUAUUCAGGGGAGAACGGAAUUCCUGGUGUAGCGGUGAAAUGCGCAGAUAUCAGGAGGAACACCGGUGGCGAAGGCGGUUCUCUGGAACGCAACUGACGCUGAGACGCGAAAGCGUGGGGAGCAAACAGG
rnacentral:rRNA from 1 species